rnacentral:rRNA from 1 species
CGGGGUGCACCAGGCGCGAAAACUUUACAAUGCUGGAAACAGCGAUAAGGGGACCUCGAGUGCCAGGUUACAAAUCUGGCUGUCGUGAUGCCUAAAAAGCAUUGCAUAGCAAGGGCCGGGCAAGACCGGUGCCAGCCGCCGCGGUAACACCGGCGGCUCGAGUGGUAACCGUUAUUAUUGGGUCUAAAGGGUCUGUAGCCGGCCGGAUAAGUCUCUUGGGAAAUCCAGCAGCUCAACUGUUGGGCUUUCAGGAGAUACUGUCUGGCUCGAGGCCGGGAGAGGUGAGAGGUACUUCAGGGGUAGGGGUGAAAUCUUGUAAUCCUUGAAGGACCACCAGUGGCGAAGGCGUCUCACCAGAACGGACCUGACGGCAAGGGACGAAAGCUAGGGGCACGAACCGGAUUAGAUACCCGGGUAGUCCUAGCCGUAAACGAUACUCGCUAGGUGUCGGCCACGGUGCGACCGUUGUCGGUGCCGUAGGGAAGCCGUGAAGCGAGCCACCUGGGAAGUACGGCCGCAAGGCUGAAACUUAAAGGAAUUGGCGGGGGAGCACAAGGG